AUUGAACGCUGGCGGCAUGCUUUACACAUGCAAGUCGAACGGUAACAGGCCGCAAGGUGCUGACGAGUGGCGAACGGGUGAGUAAUGCAUCGGAACGUGCCCAGUCGUGGGGGAUAACGCAGCGAAAGCUGCGCUAAUACCGCAUACGAUCUAUGGAUGAAAGCGGGGGACCGUAAGGCCUCGCGCGAUUGGAGCGGCCGAUGUCAGAUUAGGUAGUUGGUGGGGUAAAGGCUCACUAAGCCAACGAUCUGUAGCUGGUCUGAGAGGACGACCAGCCACACUGGGACUGAGACACGGCCCAGACUCCUACGGGAGGCAGCAGUGGGGAAUUUUGGACAAUGGGCGCAAGCCUGAUCCAGCAAUGCCGCGUGCAGGAAGAAGGCCUUCGGGUUGUAAACUGCUUUUGUACGGAACGAAAAGGCUCUGGUUAAUACCUGGGGCUCAUGACGGUACCGUAAGAAUAAGCACCGGCUAACUACGUGCCAGCCGCCGCAGUAAUAC
rnacentral:rRNA from 1 species